rnacentral:rRNA from 1 species
GUGUAUAACCAUGCCACCCUGAAUGAGCCCGAUCCUGUUUGAUCUUGGAAGCUAAGCAGGGUCGGUCCUGGUUAGUACUUGGAUGGGAGACCACCUAGGAAGACCAGGUACUGUAGGUG